ensembl:lncRNA
GUAUAUUCUUCAUCUGGCUGUCUGUUAUAUCUACACAUGAGCCAGCCACAGGGAUGGGAACAGGCUGCCUCCAGUCCUGUGCUGGGUGGCAGCUAGGCUUUAUGAAGCUGUGACUCUUUCAGAUGCUUGUUUUUGACUGACGUGACAAACCUCAUAGCUGGCAUCCAGUUACAAAUGAAGAGCUGGGGAACGGGCAGAAUUUUCAUGUGCUUCAUUAGUUGCAAAUUGUCAUAUUGUGAAACAGAUGUCUGUGUGUUGAAUAUGAUAAGCUCUUGUCUAUUGUGAACCUUUAAAUAGCGAGCAGAGGAGCUUUGAGUUGGCAGGGGAAUGAGCCAAGGCCUCUCUUGGUGGAAAUGGAUAGGGCUUCACUGAGGCUAUUUGCAGUAGCAGAGAAUUUGCUGCAGUGUCAAAGUGCAGGUAUUAGCAUUAGAGCAGGAGUUGAGAGGCAGCAAACUGACCUCAGCCAGAGAGGAUGAACAUUUCUAUGUGAAGUGAAAGUAAAAAGUUAC